UGGGGAAUAUUGCACAAUGGGCGCAAGCCUGAUGCAGCGACGCCGCGUGGGGGAUGACGGCCUUCGGGUUGUAAACUCCUUUCGCUAGGGACGAAGCUUUUUGUGACGGUACCUAGAUAAGAAGCACCGGCUAACUACGUGCCAGCAGCCGCGGUAAUACGUAGGGUGCGAGCGUUGUCCGGAAUUACUGGGCGUAAAGGGCUCGUAGGUGGUUUGUCGCGUCGUCUGUGAAAUUCCGGGGCUUAACUCCGGGCGUGCAGGCGAUACGGGCAUAACUUGAGUACUGUAGGGGUAACUGGAAUUACUGGUGUAGCGGUGAAAUGCGCAGAUAUCAGGAGGAACACCGAUGGCGAAGGCAGGUUACUGGGCAGUUACUGACGCUGAGGAGCGAAAGCAUGGGUAGCGAACAGG
rnacentral:rRNA from 1 species